GCAAAACGCGAAGAACCUUACCAGGGCUUGACAUCCCUCUGACCGCUCUAGAGAUAGGGCUUUCUCUUCGGAGACAGAGGUGACAGGUGGUGCAUGGUUGUCGUCAGCUCGUGUCGUGAGAUGUUGGGUUAAGUCCCGCAACGAGCGCAACCCUUGCCUUUAGUUGCCAUCAGGUAAAGCUGGGCACUCUAGAGGGACUGCCGGUGACAAACCGGAGGAAGGUGGGGAUGACGUCAAAUCAUCAUGCCCCUUAUGUCCUGGGCUACACACGUGCUACAAUGGUCGGUACAACGGGAAGCGAGACUGCGAAGUUAAGCAAAUCCCAAUAAGCCGAUCCCAGUUCGGAUUGUAGGCUGCAACUCGCCUACAUGAAGUCGGAGUUGCUAGUAAUCGCGAAUCAGCACGUCGCGGUGAAUGCGUUCCCGGGUCUUGUACACACCG
rnacentral:rRNA from 1 species